rnacentral:rRNA from 1 species
UACGUAGGGUGCAAGCGUUGUCCGGAAUUAUUGGGCGUAAAGAGCUCGUAGGCGGUCUGUUGCGUCGGCUGUGAAAACCCGGGGCUCAACUCCGGGCCUGCAGCCGAUACGGGCAGACUAGAGUUCGGCAGGGGAGACUGGAAUUCCUGGUGUAGCGGUGAAAUGCGCAGAUAUCAGGAGGAACACCGGUGGCGAAGGCGGGUCUCUGGGCCGAUACUGACGCUGAGGAGCGAAAGCGUGGGGAGCAAACCGG